GGUGGUGCAACUGGUCAGCGCGUCUGGCUGUUAACCAAAGGGUUGGUGGUUCGAGCCCAACCUGAGACG